rnacentral:rRNA from 1 species
AAAGGAAUUGACGGGACCCGCACAAGCGGUGGAUGAUGUGGUUUAAUUCGAUAGCAACGCGAAAACCUUACCCACCUUUGACAUGUACGGAAUCCUUUAGAGAGUAGAGGGGUGCUCGAAAGAGAGCCGUAACACAGGUGCUGCAUGGCUGUCGUCAGCUCGUGUCGUGAGAUGUUGGGUUAAGUCCCGCAACGAGCGCAACCCUUGUCAUUAGUUGCUACAUUUGGUUGGGCACUCUAAUGAGACUGCCGGUGACAAGCCGGAAGAAGGUGGGGAUGACGUCAAGUCCUCAUGGCCCUUAUAGGUGGGGCUACACACGUCAUACAAUGGCUGGUACAAAGGGUUGCCAACCCGCGAGGGGGAGCUAAUCCCACAAAGCCAGUCGUAGUCCGGAUCGUAGUCUGCAACUCGACUACGUGAAGUCGGAAUCGCUAGUAAUCGUGGAUCAGGAUGUCACGGUGAAUACGUUCCCGGGUCUU